rnacentral:rRNA from 1 species
GACGAACGCUGGCGGCGUGCUUAACACAUGCAAGUCGAACGAUGAACCCGGAGCUUGCUCCGGCGGAUUAGUGGCGAACGGGUGAGUAACGCGUGAGUAACCUGCCCUUGACUCUGGGAUAACUGCGGGAAACUGUAGCUAAUACCGGAUACGACCCUCGGCGGCAUCGCCAGGGGGUGGAAAGAAUUUCGGUCAAGGAUGGACUCGCGGCCUAUCAGCUAGUUGGUGAGGUAACGGCUCACCAAGGCGACGACGGGUAGCCGGCCUGAGAGGGUGACCGGCCACACUGGGACUGAGACACGGCCCAGACUCCUACGGGAGGCAGCAGUGGGGAAUAUUGCACAAUGGGCGCAAGCCUGAUGCAGCAACGCCGCGUGAGGGAUGACGGCCUGCGGGUUGUAAACCUCUUUUAGUAGGGAAGAAGCGAGAGUGACGGUACCUGCAGAAAAAGCACCGGCUAACUACGUGCCAGCAGCCGCCGUAA